rnacentral:rRNA from 1 species
CCAGCACCCCCGAGUUGUCGGGACGAUUAUUGGGCCUAAAGCAUCCGUAGCCUGUUCUGCAAGUCCUCCGUUAAAUCCACCUGCUCAACGGGUGGGCUGCGGAGGAUACCGCAGAGCUAGGAGGCGGGAGAGGCAAACGGUACUCAGUAGGUAGGGGUAAAAUCCAUUGAUCUACUGAAGACCACCAGUGGCGAAGGCGGUUUGCCAGAACGCGCUCGACGGUGAGGGAUGAAAGCUGGGGGAGCAAACCGGAUUAGAUACCCGGGUAGUCCCAGCUGUAAACGAUGCAGACUCGGUGAUGGGUUGGCCUUGAGCCAACCCAGUGCCGCAGGGAAGCCGUUAAGUCUGCCGCCUGGGGAGUACGGUCGCAAGACUG